AGUGCUGUGGAACAUGUAAACUAAUGAGCUGCAUUUAUUUUAGAGAGGACAACACUAAACACAUUCUUCAUGAUGGAGAUGUCAAGAAUUUUACAUGUGAAACUGUUUCCUGUCAUGAAAUAAAUGGCUCAUUUUUGAUUGAGAAAUCCAAAACAGUGUGUCCGUACUCGAGUAUGCACGUCUGUGAGUAUGGGUUUGAAUAUGUGACGAAAGACGGCGAGUGCUGUGGAACAUGUGAACCAGUGGCCUGUAUUUAUCAUUCACCAGACAACACCAUACAUAUUC